rnacentral:rRNA from 1 species
GGUAGUNCACGCCGUAAACGAUGAGUGCUAGGUGUUAGGCCCUUUCCGGGGCUUAGUGCCGCAGCUAACGCAUUAAGCACUCCGCCUGGGGAGUACGACCGCAAGGUUGAAACUCAAAGGAAUUGACGGGGGCCCGCACAAGCGGUGGAGCAUGUGGUUUAAUUCGAAGCAACGCGAAGAACCUUACCAGGUCUUGACAUCCCGAUGCCCGCUCUAGAGAUAGAGUUUUACUUCGGUACAUCGGUGACAGGUGGUGCAUGGUUGUCGUCAGCUCGUGUCGUGAGAUGUUGGGUUAAGUCCCGCAACGAGCGCAACCCUUAUUGUUAGUUGCCAUCAUUCAGUUGGGCACUCUAGCGAGACUGCCGGUAAUAAACCGGAGGAAGGUGGGGAUGACGUCAAAUCAUCAUGCCCCUUAUGACCUGGGCUACACACGUGCUACAAUGGCUGGUACAACGAGUCGCAAGUCGGUGACGGCAAGCUAAUCUCUUAAAGCCAGUCUCAGUUCGGAUUGUAGGCUGCAACUCGCCUACAUGAAGUCGGAAUCGCUAGUAAUCGCGGAUCAGCACGCCGCGGUGAAUACGUUCCCGGGCCUUGUACACACCGCCCGUCACACCACGAGAGUUNGUA